CCCAGUGCUCCUUGCCACCCUGAACGUGCCUGAUCUCAUCUGAUCUCAGAAGCUAAGCAGGGUCGGGCCUGGUUAGUACUUGGA
ensembl:rRNA 5S_rRNA 5S ribosomal RNA